AAAACAUGAGGACUAUCUCUAUUUUAUCGUCUGUGUUGUGCAUUUUUUUGCUGUUGCAAGUUGCUUCAGCUAUUCCUGUCGCCGAAGCUGAAUUAAACGGUCCAGCUCAGGUUCAGCAACCUGAAGAUCCCGAAAUAGUGAAAAAUAAGAACGGCGACAUAACGAUCGAUGCCUCGAUUCAAUCCAAUGCUUAUGUCGAAAUUCCUGAGUCAGUGGCAGAAAAUUUCUUGAAAGCCAUGUUUGAAGCGUUUCAAAAAAUG